GAGAAGCUUAAUAUUCCCUUAACAACACAACGUAAUUAAAACGUUUAGCUGAUUUUACAGAGUUAUCUCCCUGUAGUGUUAGGUACCACCUUAAGGAAUGACUGUAAUAUUUUUUCUGUCUAUGAAGAAAUAACAUAAAAAAUUUGUCGCGUAGCGGGUUAUUUUAUGUUAUUUCGAAUAGACAGAAAAAAAUAUUACAGUCAUUUCUUAUAAUUUAAUUAUAAAUUCCAUUUUGAACCGUAGAAAACCAUGAAAAAA
rnacentral:lncRNA from 1 species